rnacentral:misc_RNA from 1 species
AAGUCGUAACAAGGUUUCCGUAGGUGAACCUGCGGAAGGAUCAUUAGUGAAAGUCUGGGCUCUCCGGCCCUCUCUCUUCUAUAACCUUGUCCACCUUGUGAACUUACUAUGUUGCUUUGGCGGGUCUCUGCUCUCAGACUGCAAGUCCGGGACGGUUAGAUCGAAAGGUGCCUGCCAAAGACAUUCAAAUCACCCUUUUUUCCAAUUGUCUGAUUUUUGUUUAUACAAAAUAAAAUAAAACUUUCAACAAUGGAUCUCUUGGCUCUG